rnacentral:lncRNA from 1 species
ACAUCCAUAUUCACUUUUUAAUAUUCUGUUUUCAGCAGUACUUCUGUUUUAUCUAUUUUUGUUCACCAAUCAAACCAACUCCGAAUACCCUCAAAAUUUGUGUGGUAGUCCGCCACUGUGUCUAGUUACUGUGUACUUAAUUUCAUAAUUUUUGGUUGAGUCUAGAUUAGCUAAUUAAUUAGGUUUCUGCUCCUAGGUCGAGUCUGCCAGAUUUCUGGUUUACGCGUCUGUUUGUGUUUCUUAUGUGUUUAAGUCUUAGCAUCACCAAUCCUCUGCGGGUAAUGACCCCUAUUUGCCGUUUACUACAUUGAUAUAAUUGAUUUGAUAAUAGGGUAUCUUUGUAGGUGCUUUUGCGCCUAUCAAUAGCCUUACAUUUCCAAGGUUUAAAUGUCGGCAGAAUUUAUAUGUGAUGAGAUAUAUAGAGACAUGCACGAGAGUACGUACGAUAAUGCUGAGGAAUAUUGGCCUACCUCACAGAAACUUUAGCCCAGGUGGCCAGGUACUAAGUAUUCUG